rnacentral:rRNA from 1 species
ACGCACGCUGGCGGCGCGCUUAACACAUGCCAGUCGAGCGAUGAAACUUUAACAGAACCCUUCGGGGCGAAGAUAAAGUGGAUUAGCGGCGGACGGGGGAGUAACACGUGAGUAACCUGCCUUAGACAUUGGGAUAGCCUCUGGAAACCGGGAUUAAUACCAAAUAAAAUCAUAAUGACACAUGUCAUAACGAUCAAAACUCCGGUGGUCUAAGAUGGACUCGCGUCCCAUUAGCUAGUUGGUAGAGUAAACGCCUACCAAGGCGACGAUGGGUAGCCGGCCUGAGAGGGUGAACGGCCACAUUGAAACUGAGAAACGGUACAAACUCCUACGGGAGGCAGCAGUGGGGAAUAGUGCACAAUGGAGGGAACUCUGAUGCAGCGACGCCGCGUGAACGAAGAAGGCUUUCGAGUCGUAAAGUUCUUUUAUAUGGGAAGAUAAUGACGGUACCAUAAGAAAAAGCCCCGGCUAACUACGUG